rnacentral:rRNA from 1 species
AUUGAACGCUGGCGGCAGGCUUAACACAUGCAAGUCGAGCGGGGUGAUGGUGCUUGCACUAUCACUUAGCGGCGGACGGGUGAGUAAUGCUUAGGAAUCUGCCUAUUAGUGGGGGACAACAUCUCGAAAGGGAUGCUAAUACCGCAUACGUCCUACGGGAGAAAGCAGGGGAUCACUUGUGACCUUGCGCUAAUAGAUGAGCCUAAGUCGGAUUAGCUAGUUGGUGGGGUAAAGGCCUACCAAGGUGACGAUCUGUAGCGGGUCUGAGAGGAUGAUCCGCCACACUGGGACUGAGACACGGCCCAGACUCCUACGGGAGGCAGCAGUGGGGAAUAUUGGACAAUGGGGGGAACCCUGAUCCAGCCAUGCCGCGUGUGUGAAGAAGGCCUUAUGGUUGUAAAGCACUUUAAGCGAGGAGGAGGCUAUUCUAGUUAAUACCUAGGGAUAGUGGACGUUACUCGCAGAAUAAGCACCGGCUAACUCUGUGCCAGCAGCCGCCGUAA